rnacentral:rRNA from 1 species
UACGGAGGAUGCAAGCGUUAUCCGGAUUUAUUGGGUUUAAAGGGUGCGCAGGUUGUUUGAUAAGUCAGUGGUGAAAGUCUGUCGCUUAACGGUAGGAUUGCCAUUGAUACUGUUGGACUUGAAUAUGGAUGAGGUAGGCGGAAUGUGUAGUGUAGCGGUGAAAUGCAUAGAUAUUACACAGAACACCGAUUGCGAAGGCAGCUUACUAAUCCAUCAUUGACGCUGAGGCAUGAAAGCGUGGGGAUCAAA